rnacentral:rRNA from 1 species
GUGAAACUGCGAAUGGCUCAUUAAAUCAGUUAUAGUUUAUUUGAUAAUACCUUACUACUUGGAUAUCCGUGGUAAUUCUAGAGCUAAUACAUGCAAUAAAAGGCCGACUUCUGGAAGGCCUGUAUUUAUUAGAUACAAAAACCAUUUGGUGAUUCAUAGUAACUUUUCGAAUCGCAUGACUUUACGUCGGCGAUGGUUCAUUCAAAUUUCUGCCCUAUCACCUUUUGAUGGUAGUAUAGAGGACUACCAUGGGUUUAACGGGUAACGGCGAAUUAGGGUUCGAUUCCGGAGAGGGAGCCUGAGAAACGGCUACCACAUCUAAGGAAGGCAGCAGGCGCGCAAAUUACCCAAUCCUGAUUCAGGGAGGUAGUGACAAUAAAUAACAAUCCAGGGCUUCUGUCUUGGAAUUGGAAUGAGAACAAUUUAAAUCCCUUAACGAGGAACAAUUGGAGGGCAAGUCUGGUGCCAGCAGCCGCGGUAAUUCCAGCUCCAAUAGCGUAUAUUAAAGUUGUUGCAGUUAAAUAGCUCGUAGUUGAAUUUUCUUUUACUUUGAAAAAAUUAGAGUGUUCAAAGCAGGCAUUAUUGCUCGAAUACAUUAGCAUGGAAUAAUAGAAUAGGACUUUGGUUCUAUUUUGUUGGUUUCUAGGACCGAAGUAAUGAUUAAUAGGGAUGGUUGGGGGCAUUAGUAUUUAAUUGUCAGAGGUGAAAUUCNUGGAUUUAUUAAAGACUCGCUGCUGCGAAAGCGUUUGCCAAGGACGUUUUCAUUAAUCAAGAACGAAAGUCAGGGGAUCGAAGAUGAUCAGAUACCGUCGUAGUCCUGACUGUAAACUAUGCCGACUCGGGAUCGGGCGUGGCGAGUGAAGAGGGAAAAGCUCAAAAUUAAAAUCUGGCAAGACUUGAUCUUGUCCGAAUUGUAGUUUAAAGAAACGUUUUCGGGGGUGGCUGGGGUCCAAGUCCAUUGGAAUGUGGCGCCAUGGAGGGUGAUAGCCCCGUACGGCCCCUUACUUCACUCCUAUACGAUACGUUUUCUAAGAGUCGUACAGCUUGGGAAUGCUGUNCUAAGAGGGAGGUAAAUACCUUCUAAAGCUAAAUACUGGCGAGAGACCGAUAGCGAACAAGUACCGUGAGGGAAAGUUGCAAAGAACUUUGAAAAGAGAGUUAAACAGUACGUGAAAUUGUCCAAAGGGAAACGCUUCGACACCCUCGCGCGGGGCGCGGCCAUCAGCCUUCUUUUUGGAGGUGCACUCCGGCAGAAGAUCGGUUAGAUUUUAUACCGCCUCGUGAUUGCCCUGGGUUUGACCGAGGACUGCUGCGCAUAGGAUCUUCUGAGAACGGUUCGAAGCGCCCCGUCUUGAAACACGGACCAAGGAGUCCAACNCACAGGCGAGUCUUUGGGUGGCAAACCCGAAGGCGAAAUGAAAGUAAUUUCUCUUCAGGUNCCAACCCCCUUUACCGGGAUGCAGCAUCGGCCGGAUCUUGAGGUUUANCAAAGGAUCUGAGCAGGAGCCUGUUUGUUGGGACCCGAAAGAUGGUGAACUAUACCUGAGUAGGUGUGAAGUCAGAUGGAAACUCUGAUGGAAGCUCGUAGCGGUUACUGUACUGUGCAAAUCGAUCGUCAAACUUGGGUAUAGGGGCGAAAGACUAAUCGAACCUNCUAGUAGC